UAACGAUAAAGCGGGUGAAAAGCCCGCUCGCCGGAAGACCAAGGGUUCCUGUCCAACGUUAAUCGGGGCAGGGUGAGUCGACCCCUAAGGCGAGGCCGAAAGGCGUAGUCGAUGGGAAACAGGUUAAUAUUCCUGUACUUGGUGUUACUGCGAAGGGGGGACGGAGAAGGCUAUGUUGGCCGGGCGACGGUUGUCCCGGUUUAAGCGUGUAGGCUGGUUUUCCAGGCAAAUCCGGAAAACCAAGGCUGAGGCGUGAUGACGAGGCACUACGGUGCUGAAGCGACAAAUGCCCUGCUUCCAGGAAAAGCCUCUAAGCAUCAGGUAACAUCAAAUCGUACCCCAAACCGACACAGGUGGUCAGGUAGAGAAUACCAAGGCGCUUGAGAGAACUCGGGUGAAGGAACUAGGCAAAAUGGUGCCGUAACUUCGGGAGAAGGCACGCUGAUAUGUAGGUGAAGCGACUUGCUCGUGGAGCUGAAAUCAGUCGAAGAUACCAGCUGGCUGCAACUGUUUAUUAAAAACACAGCACUGUGCAAACACGAAAGUGGACGUAUACGGUGUGACGCCUGCCCGGUGCCGGAAGGUUAAUUGAUGGGGUUAGCGGCAACGCGAAGCUCUUGAUCGAAGCCCCGGUAAACGGCGGCCGUAACUAUAACGGUCCUAAGGUAGCGAAAUUCCUUGUCGGGUAAGUUCCGACCUGCACGAAUGGCGUAAUGAUGGCCAGGCUGUCUCCACCCGAGACUCAGUGAAAUUGAACUCGCUGUGAAGAUGCAGUGUACCCGCGGCAAGACGGAAAGACCCCGUGAACCUUUACUAUAGCUUGACACUGAACAUUGAGCCUUGAUGUGUAGGAUAGGUGGGAGGCUUUGAAGUGUGGACGCCAGUCUGCAUGGAGCCGACCUUGAAAUACCACCCUUUAAUGUUUGAUGUUCUAACGUUGGCCCGUAAUCCGGGUUGCGGACAGUGUCUGGUGGGUAGUUUGACUGGGGCGGUCUCCUCCUAAAGAGUAACGGAGGAGCACGAAGGUUGGCUAAUCCUGGUCGGACAUCAGGAGGUUAGUGCAAUGGCAUAAGCCAGCUUGACUGCGAGCGUGACGGCGCGAGCAGGUGCGAAAGCAGGUCAUAGUGAUCCGGUGGUUCUGAAUGGAAGGGCCAUCGCUCAACGGAUAAAAGGUACUCCGGGGAUAACAGGCUGAUACCGCCCAAGAGUUCAUAUCGACGGCGGUGUUUGGCACCUCGAUGUCGGCUCAUCACAUCCUGGGGCUGAAGUAGGUCCCAAGGGUAUGGCUGUUCGCCAUUUAAAGUGGUACGCGAGCUGGGUUUAGAACGUCGUGAGACAGUUCGGUCCCUAUCUGCCGUGGGCGCUGGAGAACUGAGGGGGGCUGCUCCUAGUACGAGAGGACCGGAGUGGACGCAUCACUGGUGUUCGGGUUGUCAUGCCAAUGGCACUGCCCGGUAGCUAAAUGCGGAAGAGAUAAGUGCUGAAAGCAUCUAAGCACGAAACUUGCCCCGAGAUGAGUUCUCCCUGACCCUUUAAGGGUCCUGAAGGAACGUUGAAGACGACGACGUUGAUAGGCCGGGUGUGUAAGCGCAGCGAUGCGUUGAGCUAACCGGUACUAAUGAACCGUGAGGCUUAACCUUACAACGCCGAAGAUGUUUUG
rnacentral:rRNA from 1 species